GCAACCCAGUUGAAUGAAGAAUGGUGUACAUUGGCACUGAACAGAUUGAAAGAGGCCUCCCCACUUGCUUUGAAAGUAUCACUACGAUCGAUACGUGAAGGUAGAUAUCAGACACUUGAUGAAUGCCUUGUGCGCGAAUAUCGCAUGUCCAUCAAUGGCAUUUCAAAGCCAUUUUAUCAUGAUUUUUGUGAGGGUGUGAGAGCGCGACUGGUUGACAAGGACUUGGCCCCAAAGUGGGAUCCUCCUGCGCUCGAGUUCGUUUCCGAGGACAUGGUAGAUUCUUACUUUGCCCCACUAGGAGAAUUCGAGCCUGAACUAAAGCUGCCCACAGAACAGCGAGAGGCAUUCAUAUAGAUUGCCCGAGCCCAUUUUUGUUGUCAGCACAUAAAA